rnacentral:lncRNA from 1 species
AAAUUUCCUGAUUCCACGAGGGAUCAUGCUGAAAAUACAAAUCCUUCUUCUGCAAGAACCUGGUAUGCUAUCAUUUUUUUUUCCUAUUUUAGUAAUCUAGUUAAUAUGUCAUUUGAUGAAACAUUCUUUAUACCUCUUAUUUAUUUUCUUCUUCUUCUUCUUCUUCUUCUUCUUCUUCUUCUUCUUCUUCUUCUUCUUCUUCUUCUUCCUCCUUCCCCUCCUCCUUCUUUCUUCUUCUCCUCCUUCUUUCUUCUUCUUCUUCUUCUUCUUUCUUCUUCUUCUUCUUUUCUUCUUCCUCUUCUUCUUCUUCUCCUUCUUCUUCUUCUUCUUCUUCUUCUUCUUCUUCUUCUUCUUCUUCUUCUUCUUCUCCUUCUUCUUCUUCUUCUUCUUCUUCUUCUUCUUCUUCUUCUUCUUCUUCUUCUCCUUCUUCUUCUUCUUCUUCUUCUUCUUCUUCUUCUUCUUCUUCUCCUUCUUCUUCUUCUUCUUCUUCUUCUUCUCCUUCUUCUUCUUCUUCUUCUUCUCCUUCUUCUUCUUCUUCUUCUUCUUCUUCUUCUUCUUCUUCUUCUUUUCUUCUUCUUCUCUUUCUUCUUCUUCUUCUUCUUCUUCUUCUUCUUCUUCUUCUUCUUCUUCUUCUUCUUCUUCUUCUUCUUCUUCUUCUUCUUCUUCUUCUUCUUCUUCUUCUUCUUCUUCUUCUUCUUCUUCUUCUUCUUCUCCUCCUCCUCCUCCUCCUCCCCCUUCCUCCUCCUCCUCCUUCUUCCUUGUCGUCAUCAUCAUUAUUAUUAAGGUGGUGAGCUGGCAGAAUGAUUAGUGGUAUUUUGCGCUUGUCCUUAUGUUCUCGGUUCAAAUUCUGCCGAGGUCGACUUUACCUUUCAUCCUUUUGGAGUUGAUAAAUUAAGUACCAGUGAAACACUGGGGUCAAUGUAAUCGACUAGUUCCCUCCAACCCCCACCCGGAAUUGCCGGUCUUGUGCCAAAAUUUGAAACCAUUAUUAUUAUUAUUAUUAUCAUUAAUAUUAUUAUUAUUAUUAUUAUUAUUAAUAUUAUUAUUAUUAUUAAUAUUAUCAUCAUCAUUAUUAUUAUUAUUAUUAUUAUUAUUAUUAUUAUUAUUAUUAUUAUUAUUAAUAAUAAUAAUAAUAAUAAUAAUUAAUAAUAAUAAUAAUAAUAAUAAGGUGGCGGGCUGGCAGAAUCGUUAGACAGAAUAGUUAGACCACUGGCCGAAAUGCUUAGCAGUAUUUCAUCCGUUGCUAUGUUCUGAGUUCAAACUCUGCCGAGGUCGACUUUGCCUUUCAUCCUUUCGAGGUCGAUAAAUUAAGUACCGGUUGCAUAAUGAGGUUGAUCUAAUCGACUAGCCCACUCCCCCAAAAUUUCAGGCCUUGUGCCUAUAGUAGAAAGGAUUAUUAUUAUUAUUAUUAAUAUUAUUAUUAUUAUUAUUUUUAUUAUUUUGAUUCAGUAGUAUAUCUUUUAUAGCGUGCUUUCACUUCACUACCAAGCGCAGCUCUGUGUGCCUUGGGUAUGUGCUGUGAUUUGUUGUGAUGCUCUGAUGGUUAUUGUAUGGAAAGUGUUCUGCGUAGGAUGUGUGCAGUGCCUAGUAGUGCAAUUUUCUGUAUGUUAUAUGUGUUUGUAAGUCCUGGUGUUUUUGUUAUGUAUUUGUCUGAAUAUUUUUUUUUAAUAAUAAUAAUAAUUAUUAUUAUUAUUAUUAUUAUUAUUAUUAUUAUUAUUAUUAUUAUGUGAUGAAAACUCAUAGCUUAUUUUGCUGGGUAUGAUGGAAAGAGUUAGCUGUCCACAGCCAGCAGACUAAGGUGACAAUUGUUUACCGGUCAUGCUUCAAGAACCCUGCAAAAAAUUAUUGCAGUUCCAAGCAAUGCUGAUUUUUGUAGGUGUUCUACCUUCACACUUGCACCAAUCUUUUUCAACCAUGUUGGUACUUGAGUGUUGAUACUUCCAAGUGCACCAAUUACUAUUGGUAUCACGUCUACCCUCCUCAUUGACCACAACCUUUGUAUUUCCCAUUUCAAAUAGUCAAAGUUGGUAAUUUUUUUCUUCUUCUUUCACAUUGAUCCUGUUGUCACAUGUUCUUUCUUUUUUAUUCCCCACAACAAUGUCUGGUCAGGUGAUCCCACCGGAUCAUUGUAUCUCACAGGAUUUUGCAAUUCUCAUUUUCGGUGACCCCUUCUGGGGUUUGCUGAUAUUAUCAUUAUUUAUGGUUUCCUCUCAUUAAAACUAUAUUUCAGCUGCCUUAGUACCAGGCAUCCUCUAGAGGCCAAGAGUAGCAAGGGUACUUUUGUUUUGCUAUGCAUGCUAAAACUAACACCACAUUUAUUCCAUUUUAGAUGAAGAGUGCUUUCCCUAGUACAUGGGCUGUACCCAUCAAGGUUAUCAUUUGUAGUUCACGGAGAUUGCAGUUACCAGGGAGUUGCUUAAUAUACUUCUCAGCUCCCUUCUUUAUCAUUCCCAACACACUAAUUACUACUGGUAAUAUUGUAGUACUAAGCUUCCACAUUUUUGUGAUAUCAAUUUGCAGAUCUUUAUAGUGAGAUAGCUUUUCGUAUUCUUUUCUUGAGACAUAUUUAUUAACAGAUGAGUUCCUCUGUUGUAGUCAUUGAUCACAAUGUCUGUUUGUAUUGAGAAGUUCCAAAGGAUGGUGACACCCUCGCCAUUUACAAUAUCCUCAUUACUACUACUACUACUACUACUACUACUACUACUACUACUACUAAGCUCUGCAGCUGGCCAGCUCCUGUCAAACCAUCCAACCCAUGCCUGCAUGGAGAAUAGAUACUCUUUUACUCUUUUACUUGUUUCAGUCAUUUGACUGUGGCCAUGCUUGAGCACCGCCUUUAGUCGAGCAAAUCAACCCCAGGACUUAUUCUUUGUAAGCCUAGUACUUAUUAUAUCAGUCUCUUUUGCUGAACUGCUAAGUUAUGGGGACGUAAACACACCAGCAUCGGUUGUCAAGUGAUGUUGGGGGGGCAAACACAGACACACACAUACAUAUAUACGACGGGCUUCUUUCAGUUUCCGUCAACCAAAUCCACUCACAAGGCUUUGGUCGGCCUGAGGCUAUAGUAGAAGACACUUGCCCAAGGUGCCAUGCAGUGGGACUGAACCCGAAACCAUAUGGUUUGUAAGCAAGCUACUUACCACACAGCUACUCCUACGCCUAUGUUAAAUAAUGAUGAUGACAAUGACGUUGACGAUGACUAUGAUGAUGAUGAGAGGAGGAGGAGUUUGUAAUCUUUCUUCAAGUGUUUUUAAAUUUCAAAGGUAAUUUAUUUUAAGUGAAUAAAUGUUACCUGUAUUUAUCUUUACAGUUAAACCUAAAUCAAAGAUAUGAGAAAAAAAAGAGAGAGUUAAACCUGAAUACUUGAGAACCGGAAUUGAAUCCAUUUGUGACAACCACCAGAAAUUAUGAGUUGUGUAUCGUGAGUCAACAGAGAAGGCAAUACAUGGUCGUCAUUCAAGCUGAUAGAAAUAGUCCUCAAAUCUCCCUCAAAUUACG